rnacentral:rRNA from 1 species
CAGCAGCCGCGGGAAAACGUAGGGUGCAAGCGUUAAUCGGAAUUACUGGGCGUAAAGCGUGCGCAGGCGGUUCGCUAAGACAGAUGUGAAAUCCCCGGGCUUAACCUGGGAACUGCAUUUGUGACUGGCGGGCUAGAGUAUGGCAGAGGGGGGUAGAAUUCCACGUGUAGCAGUGAAAUGCGUAGAGAUGUGGAGGAAUACCGAUGGCGAAGGCAUCCCCCUGGGCCAAUACUGACGCUCAUGCACGAAAGCGUGGGGAGCAAACAGGAUUAGAUACCCGCGUAGUCCCUGUCUCUUAUAC